CUACGGGGGGCAGCAGUGGGGAAUAUUGGACAAUGGGGGAAACCCUGAUCCAGCAAUGCCGCGUGUGUGAAGAAGGCCUGCGGGUUGUAAAGCACUUUCGGUUGGGAGGACUGCUUCUAGCACUAAUAUUGUUGGAAGUUGACGUUACCUUCAGAAGAAGCGCCGGCUAACUCCGUGCCAGCAGCCGCGGUAAUACGGAGGGUGCAAGCGUUAAUCGGAAUUACUGGGCGUAAAGCGCGCGUAGGCGGCUAGAUCAGUCGGGCGUGAAAGCCCCGGGCUUAACCUGGGAACUGCAUCCGAUACUGUCUAGCUUGAGUACAGGAGAGGAGAGUGGAAUUCCACAUGUAGCGGUGAAAUGCGUAGAUAUGUGGAGGAACACCAAUGGCGAAGGCAGCUCUCUGGCCUGAUACUGACGCUGAGGUGCGAAAGCGUGGGGAGCAAACAAGAUUAGAUACCCUGGUAGUC
rnacentral:rRNA from 1 species